UUCUUUUAUAUGUAGGCUAUACCUUCAAUUUAAGACUAAAAUCUAAAUUUGUAUUUUGAACUAUAUUAUUUUCUAAUAAUUACUUAAGCUCCGUAGUACGGGAAUACCAUUCUUUAUCAAUAUUAUUGGCUUGGCCUAAAAAUACAGUCCGUGUCACGAGUUAAAAUGCUUAUUUCUCUGAAUUUGAACAUUCUUGAAAACAUUUAGGAUAAACACGUUAGCAAAAUAUGCAAUAAUGUUCUGGUGGUUUUUGGAUAUUUUAAUUACAUUUUAUUUUACAUAUUGUGCCUUUAAAUGUGGUAGCCUACGUCAAAGGAUUGGCUUGUGAUGAUCAAUUUGGUGCACAAAUGUGAAAUGACCUGACUCACCUGAUUCUAAUUAGGCUACUAUCUGAGAGUUCGACUGCUAAGUUUGUUGAUGGAAACUGAAGCUCUCAAACGUUUUUAAGAUAACUUUACCAGCGACGACAACAUCAUGAAAAUCAGUAUUUGUCUGGUUGAAUAAGCAGAAAAGGUGUCAUGUAAAACAUGAAACAGCAACACACAGCUGCGACACAAACUGGAAACAUUUGAUGAAGGAGAAAUCCUGAGUACGGACAACAGGUUUUAAUCAUCAGAGCAACUCAUCAUCAGCAACAACAACGAGCGCCGGAGAGCACGACACCUUCAGAUGAGCUGCAGGGAAUCUUGGCUGCAUGUUUAUUGAGAUGUGACAGUGCGAUAUGCAGUGCGGAGGGGGAUAAACGAUGUGUGUCAGGCCUGCUGGGCUCCAUAUGGUCCAUCACCAAGGUUUUCACACUACAUCACACCCAUGAGAUGGAUGAACACAGGCUGCCUGUUUACCAGUCAUCCUUCAGAUCAAAUGAUGAGGGCCAGCAGAACAGAAAGUGAGACACGGUCGUCUUGGGUUUUGGGCUUGGCUUCCCUCCAGCUGUGUGUCCUUCCCCUGCCAUCCUCACUGGAGCUCAGGCUGAACUGGCAAGCUAGGGGAAUGCUUUGAAUGUUAAUGAAAUAUGUCAUCGCGAGUUGUCUCAGUAAUUAAUUGUUCACAUCACAUAUUUGAAAGGCCACCAGGAAGCGGUCCCAGUAGCGCUGCGGUGUGUUGCCUGUUUAAGAAUGGAGCUCCACUUUGAGGUUGGAAUAGGAGUGCAUCUAUUGAAGGGUAGUAAUAUCAACAGCCAUUGCUGUGUGUCUAUAAAACCAGAUUAAAUAAAGUAGAGAUUAGUAUACUAGCUUUUGUUACAUCAUAACUGCUACUAGUUUCUACACUCCAAUACUCUCCUCCAUUUUAUGGAGCGAUGUAAUGAUUGAUUCAAUGGCUCACUCAUGAAAAAAGUCACUUCUUUGGGCUAAUCACUUCGGUAGGAAACUACAGUGAAUGUCUUUCUGAGUGGUUUGAACAAACUGGAAAAUGAAAGGAUUUAACAGCUCCCUGUUAGACACAUCAAUUGGCUUCAUUAUUGAAUGAAUGAAUGGUUUCAAUGGAUUUGUAGAAUUAAUGAUUCAAUGAAGUUAUAAAUCAGGGUGUACACAGAUCCAAGUCCUAAAAAGUCUAAUAGUAUAAAGAUAAUGCCUCUAUUGGUCUUAAAAUGUCUUUAAUCUGCUUUUCAAAGAUCUUAAAGUGCAAUCCAACUGACCACGUAAAGAAGAUUUUGUUUCUGUUUUGAAGCCUGCCGAAAAUCUGUCUGUUUGUCACCCAGAACGAAAAAGGUGGAACCCAAUACAACAAAUGCUUGUGGGGAUUUCGCUUACACAAGCAGAUUUCGUAGGGAUUAUACUCUAAAAUAGCUGUUGACAUCUGCGUCAACCCAUACAUUAGGAAAUACAGGACCAGAGAUGCUCUGAAUCUGCCAAUUUUUUUAUGAAUGACUGUUCUGAGAGGUAACUGCUGAUUCUGCUGAAUCACAAUUAUUAUUAAUGUUAUUGGUCUUACUUUAUAUUAAGUGACCUUAACUAAUAUGUACUUACACAAGAAGUAUUUAUUGUGUACUUAUGCUUGAUUAAAUACCUGUAUGUAAACACAUCUGUAGUUAACUUCUGUAAUUACAUUUGUAAAUACACUGCUGACCAUUCCCUACACCUUAACCCACCUCUAAACCUACCCAUACCACCAAACCUGUCCAUAACCCAACCCCUAUCCUAACUCAAGAGCACCACAAGUGUUCCAAAUACAUUAUGAACACAGUAAGUACAUUGUAUUUAUUUUUUGAUGCAAGUACAUAGUAGUUAAGGACACUUAUUAUAAAGUGGGACCAUGUUAUUUAUUAUUAGUCAGUUCAAUCACUGUUUCUAGGUUUUUUUACUCUUUCUAUAUAUAACAAAGAGCGUUAAGGAUUGUAAUUAAUUAGUUGUUUUGUGUGUUUUCUUUGAAAAUUCAGUACUAUAAAAUUACACUAUACGAUUCCAAUUCUAAGUCUUUUAAGUCUUAAACUUCAUUCUAUGUGGUGUUAAAAAGGUAUUAAAGUUUUAAUUAUUACUCCUAGAAACUAUUUAGAAUGCACCGCUUUAAAUUUCCCAUGGCAAGCCUAUAAUUGGAAACAAAGACAAUGAUUUGUACAUAUGUUGUGUAUUGUUUCAUUUUUUUUCUCUUUACAGCAAAUAUUACCAAUCGUCCUAAUUAUUUUGUGAAAUAUCUGAUAUUUUGAUUCUCAAAUAUGUGUAAUAACUUAUAUUUUGUCUUUUAAACAGCUUGAAAAGAAUAAUUUUAUUUGAUAUAUGACGGGUAAUGGGCAUUGCCACAUUUAGUCUAUGCUGCUGGAGAGAUUAAAGAUUUACAAAAUGUUUAUAUAUAUUUUUUUCUUCUGAAAUACAUGAAAGUAAGAGACUGUUUAACUGGGAGAGGAUUAGAGUAAAUAUUCAUUGUGCAUAUUACAUGAAUGCAGCACAUUGUCCGGUUAUAUUUAAAAAACAAUUAUUAUUGGCAUCACCAUAGACACAAAUAUUAAAUG
rnacentral:lncRNA from 1 species